rnacentral:lncRNA from 1 species
AAUCCAGCCUGGGCAAUGGCGGGCGCCCCUCCCCCAGCCUCGCUGCCGCCUUGCAGUUUGAUCUCAGACUGCUGUGCUAGCAAUCAGGGAGAUUCCGUGGGUGUAGGACCCUCCGAGCCAGGUGUUACCGUGAGAAAAUAUCUUGAACUUCUGCUCUGUACUUCACCAUACAAGAAUUGAGCCUGGUGUUUUCUUUAAAUUAUUUUAUGAUUACUUAAAGCCAUUCUUUAUAAAUUUUGCACCUCUGCUGGUCAGGUGGCCUAACUUUGGAAGACUCAGACCUUCAUCUGUGACAGUUCUAUAGUCACAGUCGCUAUGCCUUCUCAGGUCCUGGCUGCUGUAUUAUUACAUUGAUUCUCAAAGUUGUACAAGAGAAUAUCAAAAGACACCAAAGGGGAUUAGGAUUAGUUACUGUUAAAAAUAUUCCUCCUGCUUUACGUUCU